UACGUAGGUGGCAAGCGUUAUCCGGAAUUACUGGGCGUAAAGCGCACGCAGGCGGCGCAGCAAGUUCGACGUGAAAGCUCCCGGCUUAACUGGGAGAGGUCGUUGAAGACUGCUGUGCUUGAGGCAAUGAGAGGGGUGUAGAAUUCCCGGUGUGAGUGGUGGAAUGCGUAGAUAUCGGGAGGAACACCAAUCGGAGCGAAAGG
rnacentral:rRNA from 1 species